UACGAAGGGGGCUAGCGUUGCUCGGAAUUACUGGGCGUAAAGGGAGCGUAGGCGGACAGUUAAGUCAGAGGUGAAAGCCCAGGGCUCAACCUUGGAAUUGCCUUUGAUACUGACUGUCUUGAGUAUGGGAGAGGUAAGCGGAACUCCGAGUGUAGAGGUGAAAUUCGUAGAUAUUCGGAAGAACACCAGUGGCGAAGGCGGCUUACUGGCCCAUUACUGACGCUGAGGCUCGAAAGCGUGGGGAGCAAACAGG
rnacentral:rRNA from 1 species